GGGGUGCUCCCAGUCUGCUCUCAGUUUGCCAUGGGGUGAUCCCAGUCCAAUCCCAGUUUGCCAUGGGGUGAUCCCAGUCCAAUCCCAGUCCGGUCGGUUGGUGUCUCUUUGGGGGAGGAAUUAAAUUUUCCCCUCGGACGUCGCCGCAGAUCCCGGCGGAGGAUCCGGCACGUCACGACGCCAUCGGCAUCCGGACAUCCAGGUGCCCGGGAAACCGUCGCGUGGUCGUGCCGGGAUGCGGCGGGAACCGCCGGGGGGACGUCGGCUCCGGAAAGAGCCGGAAAACUCCCCCCGGCUCCACCGUUCCCGCGGGGGGGGGCAGGCCGGACGGGGUCUGUGUCGGCGGAGCCGGGCGGGUUUUUGGGGAACGCCAGUCCCGGCGGCUCCGAUGGUGGGAAAGAGGCUCCGGGCUGGGGUGGGGAUAAGGGGGAGCAUCUGCACGGAUCUGUCCCUCCACAGAGCAUCCCAGGAGCAUCAAGUGAGCAUCCCCUAAGCAUCCCGCAAGCAUCCCGCAAGCAUCAUGUGAGCAUCCUGCGAGCAUCCUGCGAGCAUCCCACAAGCAUCCCCUGAGCAUCCUGCAAGGAUUCCCUAAGCAUCCCACGAGCAUCCUGCAAGGAUCCUGCGAGGAUCCCCUGAGCAUCCCAUGAGCAUCCCACAAGCAUCCUGCGAGGAUCCCCUGAGCAUCCCAUGAGCAUCCCACAAGCAUCCUGCAAGGAUUCCCUGAGCAUCCCCGGAGCAUCCCAUGAGCAUCCCCUAAGCAUGCCAUGAGCAUCCUGCAAGGAUCCUGCGAGGAUCCCCUGAGCAUCCCGCGAGCGUCCUGGUCCCCGGCAGUGUCUCCCUGCCAGCAGUGACCCCCCCCCAUCCUGCUACUUUCAGGGUUCUCCGUGGGGAUUUUGGGAGUGAUCCCGCUGCACGUGGCAUUUUGGGGGGGCUCAGAGGGGGAUCUUGGCUCCCGGCCAGACCAGGGACAGCUCUGACGCCCCCCCAGCACCCCCAGGGACCUGUUACAGGACCCCCCUUCCCCCGACUUUCCCUCCUUAAUUUCAACGACAACUUAAAAAAAAAAACCAACCCAAAACACCCCAAUUUACCCUUUUUUCUCCCCAGAUUUUCCCAGGUGGAAGCAGCGCAGGGUUUUGUCUGUUAUAACUCAACCAACUGCCCCAAAAAUGGGGAAAUCUCAUCUUUAGUGGAGAUUUGACAGUUUCCCACGGGAUUUGGAGGGUUUCUGGGCCUGGACCACUGCCCAGCAUCCCCAAUUUUUCCCCCUUUCUGCAGUAUCUGAAAUCUAUUUAAAAAUUCUAGAAAACAAAUCUA